CCACCCAUCCCUCAAAUGACAAUUACAAUGGCGUGUGGAAUGAUGUUAAAAAAAAUGAUUUAAGACCACUACUUCUUCCUCCUCUUUUCUUUGCUGCACCUCCUCCCUUCUUUUCUAUGCUGGUUCCAAACCACUACCUCUGAUUCUUCAUCUUUAUCGCUCUUUAUAUGCACAGACUAAUCUAUUGCAUCAUUAAAUACCAUUGUGAUAUCUUUUUUUUAGCAAGUUCUUGAACCAAAACUCUUACUUCCCUUUGUUUUCUUGAUCUUCUUGACUAAAUCAAGGAGUGUUCCUUCUAUUAACCUUGCUUUUUUUUAUAUUCUUUUCGGCUGCAACAGAGAGCUUUCCUUUUGUUCACCUUGGUUUUCAUGAUCUUCUUCUCCACCAAAACACAAAGCUUUGCUUUGUUCACCUUGGUUUUGUUAAUCUUCUUCGCCAGAAGGACACUUUCCUUCUACUUGGUUUUCUCGACCAAUUGGGCUUUUUACAAGGUGCUUUUGUUUAGUGCCCCAGGGCUUGUGGCUAACUGAACUAUUUCAUUGUGUUUGCCUCUCUUUUGCUACCAUCAACCAUGGAAAUUGCUACCUGCGUGCUACAAAUUGUGAAUAUGUUUUUGGAACCCAUCACUCGACAGCUCGGAUAUCUCUUCAAAUGCGGGGAGAAGGUUGAGGAACUGAGAAAUGAGAACGAACGACUUAAGGUCCAAAUUCCUGAUUUGGAGGCGAAUAUUGAAGCAGUAGAAAGAAGUGGGAAGGCAGCCACGGGUGAAGCACAACAGUGGUUCAAUAGGGCACUAGAGAAUUGGAACGUGAAGCAGAUGAAGUAGUUGAAAGAUACAAUGAGAACAAGUGUUGCUUUGGAGGACUCUGCCCAAAUUGCCCCUCCAACUACAAGUCAGGUAGACAAGCAACAAAGAAACUAUCCCAAAUCCCUACUCACAUCAAUCUAGCAAAUACUGUGAAUUGGAGCAUGGAUCGACCACUGCAAGUGGGGAGGGAGAUGCCUACAGCUUCGAUCACCGGUCAGUCAACAUUUGAUAAAAAUGUAAAUAUGAUCCUUGAGUGUUUGAGUAACGAUGCAAUGGGUGUGAUUGGCAUUCACGGUAAGGGAGGCGUUGGAAAGACAGCUGUCAUGCUUAAAAUCAACAAUGGUCUAUCACAAAAUGGAGAAUUUGAGAGAGUGAUAUGGAUCACUGUGUCAAAAGAUGUAAAUAUAACUAGAAUUCAAAAAGAAAUAAUGGAAAAAUUGGGCAUGAAUGUUGAAGAUGAAAAUACGAUUGCAGCGACAUUGUUUUCUGCUUUGAAGAAGCAAAGAUUCAUGCUUAUAUUAGAUGACUUGUGGGAAAAGCUGGAUUUGAAUGCUAUAGGAGUCCCUCGCCCAGACCCACCAAGAUCAAAAGAUUGCCAGAGAUGGGAGAACUAGCCAACUUAAAGCUUCUAAACCUACAAGGAACUGAAGAUCUUAAAUCCAUAAAACAUGGGGUUAUAUCAAGGCUAUCAUGUCUGGAGGAGCUGGACACCAUGAGUAGCGGAUACGUCGAUUGGAAAAUGAUGGAAAGAGAAGGAAUUAGCACGGAAGAAGCAUGUUGGGAGGAAUUUGAAGAGUUGGAGCGCUUAAGUUCAUUAUGGAUAAGAACCAAUGGGAAUUUCAUAAAUAAGGAAAACCAAUGGGAUCGAAAGAUAUUUGAUAAGAUACAAAAAUUAGAGGUAGUAGGGUGCCAAGUUUUGAAUAGUCUUGAGGAACUACCGCCCAUGAAAAGGUUGGAUCAUCUGUCUAUUAUAAAUUGUUCUCAAUUGGAUUUUGUUGGCCUUGAUGUUGUUCCCAGCUUGAAGAGCUUGGAAUUUUUGUGCCUCUUGGAUUUGCGAGUUGUGAGCAGAAUUUGGAAGGGAGAUGGAGACCAUCAUCUUCGCAAUCUCAGAUAUUUGACUAUUUUAGGAUUGUGAUGUAUUGAAGAAUGUGUUAUUGGCAAAUGUGGUACAAUGUCUCCCAUGCUUAGAAGAAAUGCGGAUAAUGAGCUGUAUUAGAAGAGAUAAUUAGUGGUGGGAAGGUAGGCCAAAACAUCACCCUCCCCAAAUUAAAAGAAUUGCAAUUACAUGAUUUGGUGAAAUUGAGGAGUAUAUGUGAGAUUGCGAUCACAUGGCCUUCAUUGGUGAGCAUAUUUGUAAGCAGUUGUCCCAAGUUGAAAAGGCUCCCUCUGGGUCUCCGAGAAGCAGAAAAGCUAAGACUAAUUCAUGGAGACCAAGAAUGGUGCGAGGGAUUGGAAUGGGAAGAUGAGCGUACCAACUCUACUCUCCUCCCUCUCUUUGUAGAAUUACAGUAGCAGCUCAGCUCAGCUCAUGAGGGAGGAUUCACCAGUAGUGAGGUAGGGGUCGCUAGUGUAUGAGCUGCAUCUUUCGGCCGGCAGGGUAUGGAGGUUCUUAUUGCUUUGAUUGUUUAAGGUUGAAACCUUAUAUAUACGUCACCCACCAUUAAGACGUAAGAGGUAUGGGAGUAAAUUUCUAUAUAUUUAGAAUGCUCAUACCAUUCUCUUGUAGGAGAAUGAAAAAUUCAUUUACUCCCUUGGAAAAAUGACCCAUUUGGAGAAUUUGUUUAUAUAAAAUUUUGGGAUCCGAUUUUUUGUA